rnacentral:rRNA from 1 species
GAUGAACGCUGGCGGCGUGCCUAAUACAUGCCAGUCGAGCGAACGGACGAGAAGCUUGCUUCUCUGAUGUUAGCGGCGGACGGGUGAGUAACACGUGGAUAACCUACCUAUAAGACUGGGAUAACUUCGGGAAACCGGAGCUAAUACCGGAUAAUAUUUUGAACCGCAUGGUUCAAAAGUGAAAGACGGUCUUGCUGUCACUUAUAGAUGGAUCCGCGCUGCAUUAGCUAGUUGGUAAGGUAACGGCUUACCAAGGCAACGAUGCAUAGCCGACCUGAGAGGGUGAUCGGCCACACUGGAACUGAGACACGGUCCAGACUCGUACGGGAGGCAGCAGUAGGGAAUCUUCCGCAAUGGGCGAAAGCCUGACGGAGCAACGCCGCGUGAGUGAUGAAGGUCUUCGGAUCGUAAAACUCUGUUAUUAGGGAAGAACAUAUGUGUAAGUAACUGUGCACAUCUUGACGGUACCUAAUCAGAAAGCCACGGCUAACUACGUG